CCUACGGGAGGCAGCAGUGGGGAAUAUUGGGCAAUGGAGGAAACUCUGACCCAGCGACGCCGCGUGCGGGAUGAAGGCCUUCGGGUUGUAAACCGCUUUCAGCAGGGAAGAAGCGAAAGUGACGGUACCUGCAGAAGAAGCACCGGCUAACUAUGUGCCAGCAGCCGCGGUAAUACAUAGGGUGCAAGCGUUGUCCGGAAUUAUUGCGCGUAAAGAGCUCGUAGGUGGUUCGUCACGUCGGAUGUGAAACUCUGGGGCUUAACCCCAGACCUGCAUUCGAUACGGGCGAGCUUGAGUAUGGUAGGGGAGUCUGGAAUUCCUGGUGUAGCGGUGGAAUGCGCAGAUAUCAGGAGGAACACCAAUGGCGAAGGCAGGACUCUGGGCCAUUACUGACACUGAGGAGCGAAAGCGUGGGGAGCGAGCAGGAUUAGAUACCCUGGUAGUCCACGCCGUAAACGGUGGGCACUAGUUGUGGGGACCUUCCACGGUCUCUGCGACGCAGCUAACGCAUUAAGUGCCCCGCCUGGGGAGUACGAUCGCAAGAUUAAAACUCAAAGGAAUUGACGG
rnacentral:rRNA from 1 species